GCUCCCGUAGCUCAGUUGGAUAGAGCAACGGAUUUCUAAUCCGUAGGUCGCAGGUUCAAAUCCUGCCGGGAGUGCCC
rnacentral:tRNA from 1 species